rnacentral:rRNA from 1 species
UCGAAGCGGGGAAGAGUAGCUUGCUACUUUACCUAGCGGCGGACGGGUGAGUAAUGCUUAGGAAUCUGCCUAUUAGUGGGGGACAACAUCUCGAAAGGGAUGCUAAUACCGCAUACGUCCUACGGGAGAAAGCAGGGGACCUUCGGGCCUUGCGCUAAUAGAUGAGCCUAAGUCGGAUUAGCUAGUUGGUGGGGUAAAGGCCUACCAAGGCGACGAUCUGUAGCGGGUCUGAGAGGAUGAUCCGCCACACUGGGACUGAGACACGGCCCAGACUCCUACGGGAGGCAGCAGUGGGGAAUAUUGGACAAUGGGGGGAACCCUGAUCCAGCCAUGCCGCGUGUGUGAAGAAGGCCUUUUGGUUGUAAAGCACUUUAAGCGAGGAGGAGGCUACCGAGAUUAAUACUCUUGGAUAGUGGACGUUACUCGCAGAAUAAGCACCGGCUAACUCUGUGCCAGCAGCCGCGGUAAUACAGAGGGUGCAAGCGUUAAUCGGAUUUACUGGGCGUAAAGCGCGCGUAGGUGGCCAAUUAAGUCAAAUGUGAAAUCCCCGAGCUUAACUUGGGAAUUGCAUUCGAUACUGGUUGGCUAGAGUAUGGGAGAGGAUGGUAGAAUUCCAGGUGUAGCGGUGAAAUGCGUAGAGAUCUGGAGGAAUACCGAUGGCGAAGGCAGCCAUCUGGCCUAAUACUGACACUGAGGUGCGAAAGCAUGGGGAGCAAACAGGAUUAGAUACCCUGGUAGUCCAUGCCGUAAACGAUGUCUACUAGCCGUUGGGGCCUUUGAGGCUUUAGUGGCGCAGCUAACGCGAUAAGUAGACCGCCUGGGGAGUACGGUCGCAAGACUAAAACUCAAAUGAAUUGACGGGGGCCCGCACAAGCGGUGGAGCAUGUGGUUUAAUUCGAUGCAACGCGAAGAACCUUACCUGGUCUUGACAUAGUAAGAACUUUCCAGAGAUGGAUUGGUGCCUUCGGGAACUUACAUACAGGUGCUGCAUGGCUGUC